UACGUAGGGUGCAAGCGUUGUCCGGAAUUAUUGGGCGUAAAGAGCUCGUAGGCGGUUUGUCGCGUCUGCUGUGAAACCCGAGGCUCAACCUCGGGCCUGCAGUGGGUACGGGCAGACUAGAGUGCGGUAGGGGAGAUUGGAAUUCCUGGUGUAGCGGUGGAAUGCGCAGAUAUCAGGAGGAACACCGAUGGCGAAGGCAGAUCUCUGGGCCGUUACUGGACACUGAGGCGCGAAAGCGUGGGAGCGAACAGG
rnacentral:rRNA from 1 species